UUAAGCUGAUAAGUGCAUGGGGCGGAUGCCUUGGCACUGGGAGCCGAAGAAGGACGUGAUAAGCUGCGAAAAGCUGCGGUGAGGAGCAAACAUCUUAUGACCCGCAGAUAUCCGAAUGGGGAAACCCGGCAGUGCAGACCACUGUCAUCCAUACGCCAAUACAUAACGUAUGGAAGGGAACCCGGGGAACUGAAACAUCUAAGUACCCGGAGGAAGAGAAAGAAAAAUCGAUUUCCUUAGUAGCGGCGAGCGAAAGGGAAAGAGCCCAAACCUGAAUGCUUGCAUUCAGGGGUUAGGACUGCAUAAUCGACUGCUGACGGAAGGAGAACGGCAUGGGAAGGCCGUCCAGAGAGCGUGAGAGACGCGUAUCCGAAUCCGAAGGCAGCGAGGCAGUAUCCAGAGUACCACGAGACACGAGAAACCUUGUGGGAAAGAGCGGGGACCACCCCGUAAGGCUAAAUACUACCCAGUGACCGAUAGCGCAUAGUACCGUGAGGGAAAGGUGAAAAGGACCCCGGGAGGGGAGUGAAAGAGAACCUGAAACCCUGUGUAUACAAGCUGUGGGAGGACGUUAAAGUCCGACCGCGUACUUUUUGUAGAACGGUCCGGCGAGUCACGUUUACCGGUGUGGUUAAGUACUUAAGGUACGGAGCCGAAGUGAGAGCAAGCAUGAAGAGUGCAUGUAAUCAGUAAACGUGGACCCGAAACCGGGUGAUCUACCCAUGUCCAGGCUGAAGCUGCCGUAAGAGGUAGUGGAGGGCCGAACGCACAUCCGUUGAAAAGGGUGGCGAUGAGGUGUGGGUAGGGGAGAAAUUCCAAUCGAACCCGGAGAUAGCUGGUUCUCCUCGAAAUAGCUUUAGGGCUAGCCCUGUGACAGUCACACGCAGGUAGAGCACUGAAUUUCCUAGGGGGCGUCAAAGCCUACCGAAGAAUAUCAAACUGCGAAUGGCGGACAGAUGAUGCCAGGGAGUCAGACUGCACGAGAUAAGUUGGGUGGUCAAAAGGGAAAGAGCCCAGACCCACUGCUAAGGUCCCAAAGUGCGUGUUAAGUGGAAAAGGAUGUGGGAUUUCAAAGACAGCUAGGAUGUUGGCUCAGAAGCAGCCACGCAUUCAAAGAGUGCGUAAUAGCUCACUAGCCGAGAGGUCCCGCGCCGAAAAUGUCCGGGGCUGAAACACGACACCGAAGCAUGGGAAUCAUACACAAGUAUGGUUGGUAGAGGAGCAUUGAUGACGCGGCGAAGCGGUACCGGCAAGGAGCCGUGGAGUGUCAUGAAGAGAGAAUGCCGGAAUGAGUAGCGAGAUUAAAGUGAGAAUCUUUAAGGCCGAAUAUCCAAGGUUUCCGGGGUAAAGCUGAUCUGCCCCGGGUAAGUCGGGGCCUAAGGCGAGGCGGAGACGCGUAGCCGAUGGACAACAGGUUGAGAUUCCUGUACUGCAAUGGAUCAGAACUGUGGGGACACGGGAGGUAAAGGAAAGCCGGGAAAGGAAAGCCCGGUGAAAGCCGAGGAGGCGUAUGCGAGGCAAAACCCGCAUGCAAGCCAGAGCGGUGAGAGGAGCGAAACAAAAGUAGCGAAGUUCCGGAGCCUGCCGUCAAGAAAAGCCGCUAUAGUGUCCAUUGUACCCGUACCGUAAACCGACACAGGUAGAUGAGGAGAGAAUCCUAAGGCCGGCGGGAGAAGCAUUGUCAAGGAACUCGGCAAAAUGACCCCGUAACUUCGGGAGAAGGGGUGCCACAGCAAUGUGGCCGCAGAGAAUAGGCCCAAGCAACUGUUUAGCAAAAACACAGGUCUAUGCAAAACCGAAAGGUGAAGUAUAUGGGCUGACGCCUGCCCGGUGCUGGAAGGUUAAGGGGAGAUGUCAGGAAACGAAGCAUCGAACUUAAGCCCCAGUAAACGGCGGCCGUAACUAUAACGGUCCUAAGGUAGCGAAAUUCCUUGUCGGGUAAGUUCCGACCCGCACGAAAGGCGUAAUGAUUUGGGCGCUGUCUCGACAAUGCACCCGGUGAAAUUGAAGUGCCAGUGAAGAUGCUGGCUACCCGCGCCAGGACGGAAAGACCCCAUGGAGCUUUACUCUAGUUUGGCACUGGGAUCUGGCAUUGCACGUACAGGAUAGGUGGGAGGCUGAGAAAUGAUGACGCCAGUUGUCAUGGAGCCGGCGUUGGGAUACCACCCCUGCAUUGCUAGGUUUCUAACCAGCCGCCGUGAUCCGGCGGUGGGACAAUGCCAGGCGGGGAGUUUGACUGGGGCGGUCGCCUCCGAAAGGGUAUCGGAGGCGCUCAAAGGUUCCCUCAGAAUGGUUGGAAACCAUUCGAAGAGUGCAAAGGCAGAAGGGAGCUUGACUGUGACACCGACGGGUGGA
rnacentral:rRNA from 1 species